UAAGUGAACACAUGAACUAUGCCCAAGGUCUCAUACUAAGCAGGAGGAAUGGUUCUCUCAGUGUCAGUCGUGCCUUUAAAUAUGCUGAAACCCAGAGCUUUAUCGACAGAGUGUUGACUGUUUCAGACAUUAGAGCUCUGAGUGUGUGAGUCCAGGCUUAGCAGUGAAGCAGUGAGAGAACAGAUAAAUCGCUGAGGAAGGACUUCUCUCAUGGACUCCAGCAACACAAGCGGAGUGCAGUACGAUCGCUGGAAUGAGGAGAACAUUAACAUGGACGUAGAGGCAUCGCAGCCUGCCACGAUGAGACUCUACAACAGAGUGUGUGUUGGCAGCACUGGAGUAGCAGUGAAGACAGCAGGUGCUCUGGCUGCACUGGUUUCCAUCUACAUCAUUGGGUACGUGACAGGAUACUAUGUUCACAGGUGCUGAAGUGAUGGAGGAGCCAAACCAAGGAACAGAAGUGUGCAGCCAUUCUGGAUUGACCACACGUUAGAACAGACCAUGCUAUCAAUGAGGCGGUUUUAUGUUGGAGGACAAUUUCAUUCAAAAAAUACGUUCAAUUGUGUAAGUAAAUCUGAAAGUAAUGUAAAUGUUUAUUUUUGUAAUUUGUGGAAUUAAAAUGCAAGGUUGCAACCAUCAACAGAUAGUUAAUAUGUGGUUCACAGCGUUGUUUCCUAAAGAUGACAAACUCUGACCCAAUUAAAUAUACUGUGUGAAUCACAACAAGAGUAAAUUUGUGUUUGAUAAACAGUUAUACCUUUUUCUGACUUUUUUCCUCCCUGCAAUUUCUGAAACACCUAAUAUUAUUUUGAGUAGGUAAAUCAGACGUGUUGAAGAAAGACGGUACUGUAAUACUGUAUGUUUGAUAUGUCCAGUCUGAAGUAAUAGACUGAUAAAGAUUCAAAAAUAUCACCUGUGACCCAUCUGUGUGAGUCCGAGACUGGAGCGUUAAACUUGACUUCCAUCAAAAAUGCUGCUGUCAUUGGCUUGAAGAUCAUUCUGGGCAUUUUCUUUUACCUUAGUGGAUAAUAGGUUAGGGUUAGCAGCUCUGACUAUUGUAUGUUUAAUUAGUGGACUGAUCUGCAUUCCCAUAUUAUAUUAAUAAAGAUUCAACAAUUCUCC